UAAUGAUUUGACUUAGGUAAGUUCUAGUUAUGUUUCUAGGUUUAAACUGAUUAAAAUCUCAUGAUUUAGGGUUUAAACGACGUAUCUUAGGGGUUAAACGAAAUAGGAAAAGACCAAAAGACCCCUGAAUUAACUGCUGUCGGAGUGAUCGACGGUUUGGACUGACGGGCCGUCAAUCCAUCGACGGACCGUCGAUUGGGUCCGUAGGUCGAGUCUGCCCGACAGGGCUUCACUAAAACGAGCAUAACUUUUUACUCGGAGGUCGGAAUUUAGCAAACUUGGUGGCGUUGGAAAGAUAAUUCAAUUAUCUAUCUAACCAUAGUUAAUGGG
rnacentral:lncRNA from 1 species